GUUGAACGCUAGCGGCAUGCCUUACACAUGCAAGUCGAACGGCAGCACGGACUUCGUUCUGGUGGCGCGUGGCGAACGGGCGGGUAAUGUACCGGAACGUGCCCAGUCGCUGGGGCUAACUACGCUACAGCGUAGCUAAUCCCGCAUCCGCCCUACGGGGGAAACCAGGGGAUCGCAAGACCUUGCACUAUUUGAUGGGCCGAUAACGGAUUAGCUCGUUGGUUGGGUAACGGCUCACCAAGGCGACGAUCCGUAGCCGGUUUGAGAGGCCGACCAGCCACACUGGAACUGAGACACGGUCCAGACUCCUACGGGAGGCAGCAGUGGGGAAUUUUGGACAAUGGGGGAAACCCUGAUCCAGCAAUCCCGCGUGUGUGAUGAAGGCCUUCGGGUUGUAAAGCACUUUUGGCAGGAAAGAAACGACGCGUGUGAAUACCUCGCGAAACUGACGGUACCUGAAGAAUAAGCACCGGCUAACUACGUG
rnacentral:rRNA from 1 species